UGCCAGCCGCCGCGGUAAUACGGAGGGGGCUAGCGUUGUUCGGAAUUACUGGGCGUAAAGCGUGCGUAGGCGGAAUGGAAAGUUAGAUGUGAAAUCCCAGGGCUCAACCCUGGAACUGCAUUUAAAACUCCCAUUCUAGAGUUCUGGAGAGGUAAGUGGAAUUCCUAGUGUAGAGGUGAAAUUCGUAGAUAUUAGGAGGAACACCAGAGGCGAAGGCGGCUUACUGGACAGAUACUGACGCUGAGGCACGAAAGUGUGGGGAGCAAACAGGAUUAGAUA
rnacentral:rRNA from 1 species